AAGAUCCGUUCACUCUGGUCGAAUAAAUCUUUCGUCUUUUACUAAAGAUUUUCGUGGAGAGGGAUACUCUAGUGAGUCUAAAAAAUACAUAUUAGAUGUAAGGAUAGUUUUAAG